AGUGAACGCUGGCGGUAGGCCUAACACAUGCAAGUCGAACGGCAGCACAGUAAGAGCUUGCUCUUACGGGUGGCGAGUGGCGGACGGGUGAGGAAUACAUCGGAAUCUACUUUUUCGUGGGGGAUAACGUAGGGAAACUUACGCUAAUACCGAAUACGACCUACGGGUGAAAGCAGGGGAUCUUCGGACCUUUCGCGAUUGAAUGAGCCGAUGUCGCAUUAGCUUGUUGGCGAGGUAAAGGCCCACCAAGGCAACGAUGCGUAGCUGGGCUGAGAGGAUGAGCGGCCACAAGGGAAGUGAGACGCGGGACCGACUCCAACGGGAGGCAGUCGUAGGGAAUCUUGCGCAAUGGGGGAAAGGCUGCAGGAGCAACGGCGAGUGAAGGAGGAAGGUCUUCGGAUCGUAAAACUCUGUUAUUAGGGAAGAAAAAAUGUGUAAGUAACUAUGCACGGCUUGACGGUACCGAAUUAGAAAGCCACGGCUAAAUACGUG
rnacentral:rRNA from 1 species